rnacentral:rRNA from 1 species
UACAGAGGGUGCGAGCGUUUGUCCGGAAUCACUGGGUCGUAAAGGGCGCGUAAGGCGGUCGUGGUAAGCGUCGUGGUGAAAGCUCGGGGCUCAACCCCGAGUCGGCCGUGCGAACUGCUGGACUGGAGCAUGUCAGAGGCAGGCGGAAUUCCGGGUGUAGCGGUGGAAUGCGUAGAGAUCCGGAAGAACACCGGUGGCGAAGGCGGCCUGCUGGACAUGGCUGACGCUGAGGCGCGACAGCGUGGGGAGCAAACAGG